AGUUUAGAAUUUUUGUCUUUCUUAAAUGUUAAGAUGCCUGCAGUUGUAAGACCCCCUUUCGGGGACCCCCACUCUAGUCUCGGGAGUGUGAGAGCACCCAAAGAAACACGAGGACCC
rnacentral:pre_miRNA from 7 species